rnacentral:rRNA from 1 species
CGGAAUUGAUAAGCGCUGAAAGCAUCUAAGCGCGAAGCGAGCCCUGAGAUGAGUCUUCCCUGAUACUUUAAGUAUCCUAAAGGGUUGUUCGAGACUAGAACGUUGAUAGGCAGGGUGUGUAAGCGUUGUGAGGCGUUGAGCUAACCUGUACUAAUUGCCCGUGAGGCUUAACCAUACAACACCCAAGGGGUUUUGUA